CUUAACCCUGGUUUCUUUUUUGAACUAAUUAGUUAGAGUUAAAGAGAGGAUAGUGUAAUUUCCAAAGUAGUGAUGAAAUACGUAAAUAUUGGAAGGAGCACCAGAGGCGAAGGCGACUAUCUGGAUCUAUACUGACGUUGAGGUGCGAAAGCAUGGGGAGCAAACAGGAUUAGAGACCCUGGUAGUCCAUGCUGUCAACUAUGGGUGUUAAACAUUGGAAUUGUUUUCAGUGUUACAGCUAACGCGUUAAACACUCCGCCUGGAGAGUACGACCGCAAGGUUAAAACUUAAAGGAAUUGACGGGGGCCUAAACAAGCGGUGGAACAUGUGGUUUAAUUCGAUACUACGCGAAAAAUCUUACCAGUUUUUGAAUAUCUUGAUACGAAAAUAGAAAUGUUUUCUUUUUUUCA
rnacentral:rRNA from 1 species